UACGUAGGGGGCAAGCGUUGUCCGGAAUUACUGGGCGUAAAGCGCGCGCAGGCGGCUUUUCACGUCUGGGGUGAAAGCCCAAGGCUCAACCUUGGAAUCGCCUUGGAAACGGAGAAGCUUGAGAAUCGGAGAGGCAAGGGGAAUUCCACGUGUAGCGGUGAAAUGCGUAGAGAUGUGGAGGAACACCAGUGGCGAAGGCGCCUUGCUGGCCGAUGACUGACGCUGAGGCGCGAAAGCGUGGGGAGCAAACAGG
rnacentral:rRNA from 1 species